AUUAGAUAUUUGUUAAUAGGAAUUUGUGUCUUUGUACUGCCACUGGAAUUUUAAAAAAUCAAGUUCUUUAGCUUUAUUUUACACUUUCUUUUAGGGGAGUUGGAACAAAAACUAAGUAUAAAUUAUGAUUAGUUUAGUUUAAUAAAUAAAGCAUUAAUAAUUAGAAGAUUUAAAGUUUACUUUAGUUUGUAGUUUUGGUUUAGUUUAUAGUUUUGUUUUUAGCUUUAGUUAUUUUUUUCUUACUUUAGACAACUUUAUGGAUGAAAUGAGGGGGAUGGUGUCUGGUGGAAGUAUAGCUGCAUCUUCUGUUUCGAAAGAAAAUAGUGAGGUUAUGCUAAUUUUUUUUUUAAAUAAUUGCAAAUGUAUAAUUUUUAUUAUAUUCUUCUAUUUGUAACUUUAGAUUCCUUAUCAUUCGAAGAUUAUAAAACUUACCGCUCCCAACACCCGGGAACUCUCUCUCAGAGAGGUCCUUCAACA